AUGGGGUUGACACUUUUUAACAAGUUUUGGCCGUAUUUUCAUUUAUUUGUAUUUUCAAAUUACAGCAUUAAGCGCACUACAGACUCCACUGCACAAUAUUUGACGAUCUAUUCAGGGCACGACCUGCAUUUUUCUCUGUAGCUGAACGCCUGGUUUUGGGUUUUCUCUAACCAGCAGUUCUCCUGAGUUGUUCUUCCCACCCAUCAACCCCAACCCACCCUUCCACUUUCCCUCUCCUCCCCAACCCCCCAUCCACCAUAAAAAAAAAAAAAAAAAAAAAAAAAUCUUUAUUUUAAUACCAAAUUGAUAAUUUGUGUUCAGAUACUACUGUUCUAUUAAAAGUUCUUUCCUUUUAAUAGUUGGUUAAUAAUUUGUGUUUAAUCUGCUAUUGUCCUUUUCUUUGGAAAAAAGUUUGUUACUAGAUUCAUUAUUUGUUUUAUUUGUUACUGUUCUUUUUAUUUAAAAAAAAGUUUAUUAGCUCUGUUUGCAAUUCAUUCUUGUCAAUUAACUAACUUGUUUUUUUUCUUGAGAAUACUUUGCAGGUUGGAUCGCUGCAGCAUUUUGUGAAGUAAGUGACUGAAAAUAUCCUGUAAAAAAUUAUUGAAUACAGUACUUUCUGUAGCAUUAAAACCAUUUUAUAGUCAUUUUUAAUCA
rnacentral:lncRNA from 1 species